AACGUAGGUGGCGCGCGUUAUCCGGAAUUACUGGGCGUAAAGCGUGUGCAGGCGGGCUAGCCCGUGGUGUUUGAAAGCUCCCGGCUCAACCGGGGAGGGUUAUGCCAGACUGCUAGUCUUGAGUGCGAGAGAGGAGCGUGGAAUUCCGGGUGUAGUGGUGAAAUGCGUAGAGAUCCGGAGGAACCCCAGAGGCGAAGGCGGCGCUCUGGCUCGCAACUGACGCUAAGACACGACAGCAUGGGGAGCGAACGGG
rnacentral:rRNA from 1 species